rnacentral:rRNA from 1 species
CGGCUGAGUAACGCGUAGGAACCUACCCCAAACUCGAGUAUAGCCCCGCGAAAGCGGGGGUAAUCCUCGAUAGCCCGUGAAGUAUUUUACUUCACGGUAAAGCUUUUGCGGUUUGGGAUGGGCCUGCGUCCUAUCAGGUAGUUGGUGAGGUACAUGCUCACCAAGCCUAUGACGGGUAGCUGGUCUGAGAGGAUGGUCAGCCAGACUGGGACUGCGACACGGCCCAGACUCCUACGGGAGGCAGCAACUAGGAAUUGUGCGCAAUGGACGAAAGUCUGACGCCGCGACAUCGCGUGGAGGAUGAAGGUCUUCGGAUUGUAAACUCCUUUUCUUACCGAACAAGUUCUGGAAUGUAAGGUAAGGAAUAAGUGCCUGCUAACCACGGCCCAGAAGCAUCGGUAAUACCGUGGGGCAACGAGCGUUAUCCGGAUUAACUGGGCGUAAAGAGAAAGCGUAGCCGGCUCGAUAAAGUUUGGUGUUAAAUCUUCCCGGCUCAACCGGAAACAAGCACCGAAAACUAUCGAGAUUGAGUCGAGUAGGGAAGAGGGGAAUUCCUGGUGGAGCGGUUAAAUGCGUAGAUAUCAGGAGGAAUACCAAGGGCGAAGGCACCUCUUUGGACUCGUACUGACGCUGAGGCUCGAAAGCGUGGGUAGCAAAACGGAUUAGAUACCCGUGUAGUCCACGCCGUAAACGAUCCCUGUUAGAUGUA